AGUGAACGCUGGCGGUAGGCCUAACACAUGCAAGUCGAACGGCAGCACAGUAAGAGCUUGCUCUUACGGGUGGCGAGUGGCGGACGGGUGAGGAAUACAUCGGAAUCUACUUUUUCGUGGGGGAUAACGUAGGGAAACUUACGCUAAUACCGCAUACGACCUACGGGUGAAAGCAGGGGAUCUUCGGACCUUGCGCGAUUGAAUGAGCCGAUGUCGGAUUAGCUAGUUUGCGGGGUAACGGCCCACCAAGGCGACGAUCCGUAGCUGGUCUGAGAGGAUGAUCAGCCACACUGGAACUGAGACACGGUCCAGACUCCUACGGGAGGCAGCAGUGGGGAAUAUUGGACAAUGGGCGCAAGCCUGAUCCAGCCAUACCGCGUGGGUGAAGAAGGCCUUCGGGUUGUAAAGCCCUUUUGUUGGGAAAGAAAAGCAGCAGGUUAAUACCCCGCUGUUCUGACGGUACCCAAAGAAUAAGCACCGGCUAACUUCGUG
rnacentral:rRNA from 1 species